GACGAACGCUGGCGGCGUGCUUAACACAUGCAAGUCGAACGAUGAACCCGGAGCUUGCUCCGGCGGAUUAGUGGCGAACGGGUGAGUAACACGUGAGUAACCUGCCCUUGACUCUGGGAUAACUGCGGGAAACUGUAGCUAAUACCGGAUACGACCCUCGGCGGCAUCGCCAGGGGGUGGAAAGAAUUUCGGUCAAGGAUGGACUCGCGGCCUAUCAGCUAGUUGGUGAGGUAACGGCUCACCAAGGCGACGACGGGUAGCCGGCCUGAGAGGGUGGCCGGCCAAACUGGGACUGAGACACGGCCCAGACUCCUACGGGAGGCAGCGGUGGGGAAUAUUGCACAAUGGGCGCAAGCCUGAUGCAGCAACGCCGCGUGAGGGAUGACGGCCUUCGGGUUGUAAACCUCUUUUAGUAGGGAAGAAGCGAAAGUGACGGUACCUGCAGAAAAAGCACCGGCUAACUACGUGCCAGCCGCCGCGGUAA
rnacentral:rRNA from 1 species